CAGAAGAGAAAUAAGACUGAGAAGAACAAAAAAGACAGCAGCAACAACACCAUCCAAACCAAAAAAAGGCCAUCAGCAGUAGCAAAAGAGGAUGAAACAACCCUUUGAAGAUCACACCGAGAAGCAGAUCCUGAGAACUGCCCAAAAGACAAAGGAAACAAGCCAAUCAGAGCAGGAAAGCAGCCCCCAAAUUAGAGAUUGAAAUGGUUUUUUUCAUGGAAAUGCAGAACCAUGAAGAACAUAACCUGCAAUUUUUUAUAAUACAAAAUUGCAGGUAUUAUAAAAAAUCCUCUUCUUUCGCUCUUCCCAAAUUAAGUAAAUCAGAAUACCAAGUGAGACUCUUCGCAAUAUUUAUGGUCGACAUAGUAGAGACAUGAAAUGGCAAUAUUUAUGGUCGACAUUCGCAAUAUUUAUGGUCGACAAGCCAUGAUUUCGUCAUCCGCCAUAAGAGAGAAGUCUAGUGGCAAGCAAAAAACAGAUGGUUGUGGGAUUCUUCUUCAUCUCGGCAGAAAGCACAACUAGGAUCAGUUUGUAGGAACUGAAGCCUAUCUCGGGUGCGAAGCUACCCCAUCACAGCCAACCACAUAAUAAAAUUAUAUCUGGGCAUAAACCAAGGCUCCUAGACCACCUUUGCCCAAGAAAUUGGAGUACCUUUAAGCCGCAGGAAGUUAUAAGCAUUAGCUAGGAAAGGAUGGUCUACACUGCUCCAAGUUGUUAGAAAACGUGUUUAUAACUGCUGUUGGUGGAGUCAUAAACAUUGUUUAGUGGUUUGAAAUAUUUCAAACCUGUUCUUAUUUCUUUGUUUUCAGUUAUUUCUUUGUUAUCUAUGAUUUGAUCAUGGCGUAAUCUUAGGACCAUGAUGUUAGUGGGUUGUUAUUAAACAAGCUUUAAAUUGUAAUGCUACAGACGUUAAUUGUAUUCAAUUUUUCAGCUUCAAAAUCGAUUGCUCUCAUUUUCUAUUUUUUCUUAACUACAACAAUACUCUGUUUUUUCUUUCUUUAUUUUAAAACAAUUACAAUUGGUAUCAGAGCUAUCUUCUUAUAAGGACAUGUGUGUGAGUUUGAUAUAUCAUAGAAGCUGAAGCUAGUUUCUCAUCAAUUGCUCCGCUGGUGUUUGAUGCAGACAACUCCCAGAUUUGGACAGUACACAUUGUUGUUACUUAUUUUUGGAUUCUCAUACAAAAAUAAAAAAAUAAUCGGAAGAAAUCCAAAAAACUAAUAGAAGCAAGAAAAGGAGACGUGGUGUUGCAAUUAUGAUUUUUUUUAUAGGGAAAGAAUGAUUCAUCAAAGACCACAUGGAGAGAAAAAACAUUUGUUUUUGCUGGAAGCUUGAAAACAUUUGUAUCCUUUUUUGUUUAUCAUUGUAUCCUACAAAGAUAUAAAGGACUGUUUUUUGAUAAAUUUAUGUUGUCUUGUAUCUUAGGUGUAAGGGAAGCUUUUUAGACCCAAAGACUUGAGGAGAUGAAUAAUAAGGAAGAGUUUCGUGCAAUGUAAAGUAUGGAGAUUCAGAAUUAAGAGCGGAUGAAUGCAAUCUAUUAAUAAGGAAGACAACUGUGGUAAAGCUUUUAUCCAUAAAAAGAAUACCUCUGUGAAAUAACAGUCAUACCUGUGGAAAUGAAGUGUGAUGAAAGUUUAAAGCUGAUGUAUUUUCCUUCUCCAUCAGAGUGAAA
rnacentral:lncRNA from 1 species